UACGUAGGGCGCAAGCGUUGUCCGGAAUUAUUGGGCGUAAAGAGCUCGUAGGCGGUUUGUUGCGUCGGCUGUGAAAUCCCGAGGCUCAACCUCGGGUCUGCAGUCGAUACGAGCAAACUAGAGUGUUGCAGGGGAGACUGGAAUUCCUGGUGUAGCGGUGGAAUGCGCAGAUAUCAGGAGGAACACCGGUGGCGAAGGCGGGUCUCUGGGCCGUUACUGACGCUGAGGAGCGAAAGCGUGGGGAGCGAACAGG
rnacentral:rRNA from 1 species